CGAUAGAGUACACGAUAGAGUAGCAGUCGACUGUCCACGACCACGAAAGAGACUCCAAAGCUGCACUGCCGUCCAUCGUCCAGGACCACCGACCACGACCGUCGUUCAAGACUCCGAAGCUGCACCGCCAUGAACGACCGCCGACCGCCAACAGCCCACCCGUAACUCGGAAAUCUCAAAUCGGAGUCGUAUGUUGUAAGAGCAGGUUCUGUGCAUUCUUGUUCGUAGCAGAAGAGCAACUUAUUGUGUUUCCCAAGUAGGCAAGAAGCAAAAAGGACGUGGAGGAUGUGGAGGACGUGGAGGUCGUUUUGGAGCUAGACUUUUGACAAUAAAUGUUCCACCACCUAAUGAAAAUCAGACACCAUCGGCAUCUGCAUCGGCAUCGGCAUCUGCAUCUGCAUCGGCAUCGGCAUCGAUUCCCAUAUUAGCAUCAAGACCAUUAUCACCAUCCACGCCAUCUACAGCUACUAAUGGCCAGGCUAGACAAGAUGUUGUUAGGCAAGUGCAUGGACGCUUAUGAAUUGAUGUCAAGGGCAAUAUGUUGACUAACUCAGAUGUAUGUGCUAGAAAGAUUACUAAGUUAUUCAAAGAGCGAACAGAUCCAAAUGGUUAUACAUGGGGACAACUUAGUGUUGAUACAAUUGAAUUUUAUUGGGAGGAGUUCAAGUGUGUUUUGCAGAAAUCUUUUGAUUGGGAUGAUGCAAAAACAACUUUAGUGUAUAAUGCUUGGGAGAUGAAAGCUAAAAUAAGGUAUGCUGAUUACAUAAGCAGAUUAAGGAAAAAUCCAAGACCUGUCUAUAUCCCACCAGAAAUAUGGACAAAGUGGAAUGAAGUUUGAAAUUCUGAAGAGGGCAAGAAGAAAACAGAAUUGGCUAAGAAAAACAGACGUGGAGGAGUUUUAAAUGGAGUUGCUCAAUCUACCCAUACCAUAGGGUCAACACCUCACGUAAAAGUUGCAGCUCAACUUGAAAGACAAUUGGGUCAUUAUCCAUCAUAUUAUGAACUUUUCAAGCAUACACAUACCAAACAACAUGAUGGGGAAACAUUCAUAGUUGAAAAAGCCAAACAAAUUCAUGAACAAGUUGCAACGCAACGGGAGAUGUUGACAGGAACUGGAGAGCAAGUGGAUGAUAAUCAAUUAUAUUAUGAUGUGGUUGGUGGACAUGACAAGAAAAGAAGGAUUUAUGGACUUGGUUCAUAUGGUUGUUCUAUUGUUAACGGUUCAACUAGUGAUAACACUUCUGGCAAUAUGACUCCAACAUCUCGACCACCUGACAAUGCUACUUUUGUAAGUGUACAAGAUGAAAUUCAGAGUUUGAAGGCUACUAUUCUCCUUAUGCAACAACGACUUGUUGCUAUUGAUGGCGGAAGAGCGGGUACUUCAUCAUCACCUCCAUCUCAAACCGAUUAAUUUCAAUAUGGGUUGUUGUUUUUCAAGACUAUUACAUUAAUGCUUAGACUUGAAUUGACUAUUAUUAUGUAUUAAAUGUGAUUGGAUAAUGUAUUAUUACUUGAACUUAAUGUGAAUUGAUAAUAUUUUAGACUUAUGUUA